UACGGAGGGAGCUAGCGUUGUUCGGAAUUACUGGGCGUAAAGCGCACGUAGGCGGCUUUGUAAGUUAGAGGUGAAAGCCCGGGGCUCAACCCCGGAAUUGCCUUUAAGACUGCAUCGCUUGAAUCCGGGAGAGGUGAGUGGAAUUCCGAGUGUAGAGGUGAAAUGCGUAGAUAUCGGGAGGAACACCAGUGGCGAAGGCGACUUCCUGGCCUGUUCUUGACGCUGAGGCGCGAAAGCUAGGGUAGCAAACGGG
rnacentral:rRNA from 1 species